rnacentral:rRNA from 1 species
AGCGUGGAGACAGGUGGUGCAUGGCUGUCGUCAGCUCGUGUCGUGAGAUGUUGGGUUAAGUCCCGCAACGAGCGCAACCCUCACCCCUUGUUGCCACCAGGUCAGGCUGGGCACUCUAGGGGAACUGCCCCGGUCAACGGGGAGGAAGGUGGGGAUGACGUCAAGUCAUCAUGCCCCUUACGUCCUGGGCUACACACGUGCUACAAUGGCCGGUACAAAGGGAUGCAAGACUGCGAGGUGGAGCUAAACCCAAAAAGCCGGCCUAAGUUCAGAUUGGAGUCUGCAACUCGACUCCAUGAAGGAGGAAUCGCUAGUAAUCGCGCAUCAGCGCGGCGCGGUGAAUACGUUCCCGGGCCUUGUACACACCGCCCGUCACACCACGAAAGCCAGCUGUACUCGAAGUCGCUGAG